UACGUAGGCAGCGAGCGUUGUUCGGAAUUACUGGGCGUAAAGAGUGUGUAGGCGGUGCUCCAAGUCUGUUGUGAAAUCUCCCGGCUUAACUGGGAGGGUGCAGCGGAAACUGGAAUGCUAGAGGGUGGGAGAGGUAAGCGGAAUUCCUGGUGUAGCGGUGAAAUGCGUAGAUAUCAGGAGGAACACCUGUGGUGUAGACAGCUUACUGGACCACUUCUGACGCUGAGACACGAAAGCGUGGGUAGCAAACAGG
rnacentral:rRNA from 1 species